AGAGUUUGAUCCUGGCUCAGGAUGAACGCGGGCGGCGUGCUUAACACAUGCAAGUCGAACGGAAAGGCCUGUACUUGUACAGGUACUCGAGUGGCGAACGGGUGAGUAACACGUGGGUGAUCUGCCCUGCACUGUGGGAUAAGCCCGGGAAACUGGGUCUAAUACCAUAUAGGACCACUUCUUGGAUGUUGUGGUGGAAAGCUUUCGCGGUGUGGGAUGAGCCUGCGGCCUAUCAGCUUGUUGGUGGGGUAAUGGCCUACCAAGGCGGCGACGGGUAUCCGGCCUGAGAGGGUGUACGGACACAUUGGGACUGAGAUACGGCCCAGACUCCUACGGGAGGCAGCAGUGGGGAAUAUUGCACAAUGGGCGCAAGCCUGAUGCAGCGACGCCGCGUGGGGGAUGACGGCCUUCGGGUUGUAAACUCCUUUCGCUAUCGACGAAGCCACCUUGGGUGGUGACGGUAGGUAGAUAAGAAGCACCGGCUAACUACGUGCCAGCAGCCGCGGUAAUACGUAGGGUGCAAGCGUUGUCCGGAAUUACUGGGCGUAAAGAGCUCGUAGGUGGUUUGUCGCGUCGUCUGUGAAAUCCCGGGGCUUAACUUCGGGCGUGCAGGCGAUACGGGCAUAACUUGAGUGCUGUAGGGGAGACUGGAAUUCCUGGUGUAGCGGUGAAAUGCGCAGAUAUCAGGAGGAACACCGAUGGCGAAGGCAGGUCUCUGGGCAGUAACUGACGCUGAGGAGCGAAAGCAUGGGUAGCGAACAGGAUUAGAUACCCUGGUAGUCCAUGCCGUAAACGGUGGGCGCUAGGUGUAGGGGGCUUCCACGUCUUCUGUGCCGUAGCUAACGCAUUAAGCGCCCCGCCUGGGGAGUACGGCCGCAAGGCUAAAACUCAAAGGAAUUGACGG
rnacentral:rRNA from 1 species